UGAUUCAUGCACGGCAAUUACCUGUAUUUAACUUGAGGAUUUUGACACUAGAUUGAUGAAUGGCAGAUAUUUGUAGCUGAGUUCAAUCAACAAUGCUAGCAAGCAGAAAUUCCUAUUCACCGAACGUCGAAAAAAUUUUCAAAAUUGUCAACGACCUCACAGGUGUCCUAAACCAGGAAGAAUUUUCAGCAGAUCUUCAAGAAUAUCUUGCUAAAAACUAUCCAAACUAUGCAAGUGAUUUAAAACAGCUCCACGAUGACGUUUCUUUUAACCAGCCGUGCA